rnacentral:rRNA from 1 species
AGUGGCAGACGGGUGAGUAACAUGUAGGUAUCUGCCCUUUGGCCUGGAAUAACACGAGGAAACUUGUGCUAAUACUGGAUAAGUCUUUACGGAGAAAGCUUUAUGCACCAUUGGAUGAGCCUGCACUUGAUUAGUUUGUUGGUGGGGUAAUGGCCUACCAAGACUGUGAUCAAUAGCUGAUUUGAGAGGAUGAUCAGCCACAUUGGGACUGAGACACGGCCCAAACUCCUACGGGAGGCAGCAGUGGGGAAUCUUGCACAAUGGAGGAAACUCUGAUGCAGCGAUGCCGCGUGAGUGAAGAAGGCCCUUGGGUUGUAAAGCUCUUUCGUCGGGGAAGAAAAUGACUGUACCCGAAUAAGAAGGUCCGGCUAACUUCGUGCCAGCAGCCGCGGUAAUACGAAGGGACCUAGCGUAGUUCGGAAUUACUGGGCUUAAAGAGUUCGUAGGUGGUUGAAAAAGUUGGUGGUGAAAUCCCAGAGCUUAACUCUGGAACUGCCAUCAAAACUUUUCAGCUAGAGUACGAUAGAGGAAAGCAGAAUUUCUAGUGUAGAGGUGAAAUUCGUAGAUAUUAGAAAGAAUACCAAUUGCGAAGGCAGCUUUCUGGAUCAUUACUGACACUGAGGAACGAAAGCAUGGGUAGCGAAGAGGAUUAGAUACCCUCGUAGUCCAUGCCGUAAACGAUGUGUGUUAGACGUUGGAAAUUUAUUUUCAGUGUCGCAGCGAAAGCGAUAAACACACUGCCUGGGGAGUACGACCGCAAGGUUAAAACUCAAAUGAAUUGACGGGGACCCGCACAAGUAGUGGAGCAUGUGGUUUAAUUCGAAGAUACGCGCAGAACCUUACCAACACUUGACAUGUUCGUCGCGACUCUAAGAGAUUAGAGUUUUCGGUUCGGCCGGACGAAACACAGGUGCUGCAUGGCUGUCGUCAGCUCGUGUCGUGAGAUGUUGGGUUAAGUCCCGCAACGAGCGCAACCCUCACUUUUAGUUGCCAUCAUUUAGUUGGGCACUCUGAAAGAACUGCCAGUGAUAAGCUGGAGGAAGGUGGGGAUGACGUCAAGUCCUCAUGGCCCUUACGUGUUGGGCUACACACGUGCUACAAUGGUAUCUACAACAGGAAGCAAGACUGCGAAGUUAAGCAAAUCCUUAAAAGAUACCUCAGUUCGGAUUGCACUCUGCAACUCGAGUGCAUGAAGCUGGAAUUACUAGCAAUCGUGGAUCAGCGUGCCACGGUGAAUGCGUUCCCGGGUCUUGUACACACCGCCCGUCA